UACGUAGGGUGCGAGCGUUAAUCGGAAUUACUGGGCGUAAAGCGUGCGCAGGCGGUUUUGUAAGCCAGAUGUGAAAUCCCCGGGCUCAACCUGGGAAUUGCAUUUGUGACUGCACGGCUAGAGUGUGUCAGAGGGGGGUAGAAUUCCGCGUGUAGCAGUGAAAUGCGUAGAGAUGCGGAGGAACACCGAUGGCGAAGGCAGCCCCCUGGGCUAACACUGACGCUCAGGCACGAAAGCGUGGGGAGCAAACAGG
rnacentral:rRNA from 1 species